UAACGAGCCCAGCCCUGCUACUCUCCUGGAGCACCCAGCAGCAGGACAGAAAAACAGCUUUAGUGCUGUCUUUAUAAGUCGAUUAGAAGUGUGAGCUGCUGCUGCAGGAUGGAGAGGGGUGGGCUGUGCAAUAAGGGGGACUCCAGGUGCUGGGAACCCUGCUGCCUGCCCUCCUGGCUGCUGUGUGUGAGGAGCCACCGCAGAGCUGCUCGGCUGCGUGUCCUGGAGCCCUGUCUGUCUGCAGCUGAGAUGAAUGCCCGUGUGUGAGAAGCAACGACGGUGUCUUGUUGUGAAAAGCUUGUGCUCACUGAGGCUGGAAAAUCCUUCAAAGAAAGGCUCUGGUGAUCCUGGGCAAUUGGGAAUUCCCACACUGAUGAUGGAUCAAACCAAGGCAAGGAAACAGCAGUGGAUAAAUGGCACAAAUGAAGCAUGGAAGCUGAACAAACUGGCCUGCAGUGUAUUACACAGCAGAACGAGCCCGUUCUCCUGCUCCUCCUUGCCCAGACAUGCUUACCAGUGCAUGCCAGUCCCUCUGAAGCCGGUGGGGCUGUGGGGAAUGAGCUGUGCGAUUGCGCUGCCCUGGACAGACCUUCAUCAGAGGUCAGCCUGAUCCUUGCACCGUGCAAGUAACUGGCUUGUAAAGGUACAGCCAGAGGACAGCUCUUACAGAGAAGCAAACAGCUAGAAAAUCUCCCAUCCCUGUGCUUCACCAGAGAAGAAAUGAGUCAGUGUUGAAUGUCUUCCAUAUGGAAAGUAUGGUGCAACCACUAUCCUUCCAUAGUCUGCUGUUCCUGUCUGUCCUACAGCUUUCAGGAGACCAGUGUGCCAGUCCAAGCUUUUCAAGUCCAACAGGCCAGCAAAACACUGAGACAAGUGGGAGAGAAGUUCAGGGAGAAGAUGCCCCAAAGAAGCUACCACUUUUAGAUUUUUUUUUUUAUUUUUUAUUUUUAUUUAUUUAUUUAUUUAUUUAUUUUUACAAAUCUAAGGGGCUGGAAGAAGAUGCAUUUAGAAAGGAUGAAAAUGCUGAAGAUGGUUUACAUGGAUAGAGGACAAGGAAGGACGCCUGGGCACUUGUGGAAUGCGUGCUGGGGAAUGGCCUACAAAGCAGGCCACAAAAGGAUGCUGAGAGCAAUAGCAUAAAAUUAAGAAAAGGGGAAGCUGUAGGCUGGAAAGAAUUGAAAUUGUCCUGGUGAGAGAUCUUUAACAAGCUGUGGGUAAUUUCCUCAAGGGAAGUGAUAGACUCUCCAUUGCGGGGAUUGUUUAAAAAGUAAACUGGAUGAAGCAGUAAGAAAUAUGCUCCAAGGACUAAUCUGUCAACUUGAGGGAUUAAUGACCUAAUUGGUCCUUUGGUUUCCUUCCAUCUCUCAUGCUCACUGCUCUGUGAGCAGCAGCUUCUAAUUAUUAGGUAGGAGACUAGGCUAAAGGAGUAGUCUUACUGGAAAAGCUUCCUUGCAGUGACCUGGUCUUUUUCCAGACUUCUUGUCCGUGAAAAAGCUUUGGUGCUUUAGAAGAUAGAAUAGCUGUGGGGCUUAGAGGGUCCCAAACUGAAGCUUGUUUUUGCUUUCCUUAUAAUGCCUUGGGUUGUUUCUGUUUCUUCCUGGUAGGAUAUUCUUGUGACACCUGGCCCAAAGCAAGCUGUUCCUACAAAGCUAUCAUAAUUUGGUGUUGUUCCUACAUCUCUUGGCUGCGUUGUGCUGAACUACUUUCUGCAUGCUCCUCAAGGCUUCUUCAAGGCACAAAUUGGCACAGAGAUUGUUCUGGCAUCAGAUCUUGUUGCUUUGGAUUAUCUGGUGAGGCAGAACAGACAAAGCUUUGCAAUCACCCUUCUCCCGUCCCCCCCAUGCUUUCCAUCUUCUGAGUUUCUGGUGAUAUCUUGCUUCUCAAAUGCCCCAUGAAGGAACAAAGGACAUGAUCAGGGAAAUGGUCAUGACACUUGUCUUCUGCUAUUCUUGAUGCUUGGAAAAUACACACUGUCAUUGGAGAAAACUUCAAGAUGCUAAAGAAACCAGGACCUGUCCUGCACUGCAAGAACAUCAAAGUGGUUGGAGGUAACCACAGCAAGACAGAACACAGCUGGCUCUCACACCUAUCUCACUUCAUCCUAGUAAUGAUGAACGGCAUCCUUUUUUCUUACCAUUUGCCAUGACUAUUUCCCCUUCCCUUCUAUCUGUACCAUUUAGGACGUGUGUAUCAUUGCUACAUCUACUGUGCUGCUAUACCCUAGGUCUCAAGUGCUGAGAAAACUGUCUUGCUGUAGUUUUCUUGUCAUCCUUUUCCCUUUGUACAUCUGCUGGUAAAGCAGCCUGGCAAUAGAUGAAACUUUAAAUACAUUAGACAUGCAUUUGCAUUUGAAGGAGGAAAUAAAAUAUGCAUGAUUUGUCCUAAUUCAGACUCACAGACUGGUUCCAGAUUGCCCUCCUGCGAUCGGAGUGUGACUUUUUAAAAACAAUUUCAAUCACUCUUUGAUUUUAUUUUAUUUUUUUCAGGUUUAAGUGAUGGGGUUUCCAGGGCUUUUCAAUGAAGGCUUCUUCAUUUGGUAGAGGUGAUCUCUAGGUUUCAUGAUUUCUUUUCAGAGUUUUCAGACCUGGUUCCUGUCAACUGCUGAGCAUCGUUAGUCCUUCUGACCUUUGGGGGGUUACUGAAGCUCACCCUUGGGUUGGGAUUGGUCCCUAGCAUCUUCCGUGUGUCUGAAUUCAGACCACAUGUCUUGUCUUUCUUAUCUUAUUUUCAGUGACUUCUCAAACUACUUAAAGGUAUCUGUUACCUUGGAGCUUAGCAGGUUGCAUUGCUGCUUCUAACUUGGACAGCACAACCUUGGCAAAUGGCACUUGAAGUGGCAGCUCCUGUGGCUUCCCUUAUGUUUUACCUUUCAAUAUUUCAGCGCUUAUGUGCUCUGGUAUUACCUGGCUUUAAAAUUCCCAGAAGGACAACGUAGUGAAGCAGGACCACUGAUCUUCUGUCUUAUAUUUCAGGCUAUCCUUAGGACUAUUGGCACGCAGGGCACGAACUUCAUGCUGAAAAGGGAUUUCUGCAGACUGUGUCCCUGGCUUGUUCAGUGCAAGACUGAGAAUUUAGGUGUAUGUGGGAAGGGAUGGGGUUGCACAUGUAAAGACAGGGCAAGUGAAAGGUCUGGAGAUAUCAGAGGGAGGCAGUACUUGGGGUUUUAGCCAGCGAAGUCCAGUGGUGGACUGGAGACAGAGAUGAAACAGGUGAGUGUGUGAUCUGUUAAUAUCAGAUGUUAGAAGAUAAAAAAAAAAAAUAACACAACAAGAUCUGUAAAAAUAAAUAAAUAAAUAAAAUGGACCAGAGUUGCUUGGAGGGGAAUGGCACAUUGACUUGGCUGUGGUCAGCAGUGCCAGUUAUACCUUCAUGUAACUGGGAGGGAACUUGAGAUUGGGAAGAAGGUAUGGGGAUGUUCCUGGUGAGGUGUGAAAAAAGCUACUGUAAUAAAUCCAGAAAGGUUCUGAACACCACUUUACUGUGUUUCCAUGCUGUCCUUUCUCCAGCUGCUAAAGCUGAGAAAAAAAUAGAAAAGCUUUCAACAGAUAUUCAUUGGCAAUCAGAAGAGAAAUAUCCAUGGUGCUGUGUCUGUUUUCCUUGGCCACUUCCACUUAAUGAAUGCCCUUAGAAAAGCAGCUCUGCUAUUGAGCCAAAGCAAAUUCUGCACCAUGUCGGUUGGUUGUGUGUGCCCUGCGGACAGAGAACAAAAGUGCUAAUGCAUGAUUUAUGCAUCAAACCGGCACAGUAACAUUAACUAGCCAAGCUGCACAAUGUGCCUGUUAAAUAGAGACUGCAUCUCUGCAGGCUAAAGUGCUUCUCACCCUGACCCACCUGCUUUACUGAGGUUAUUCCAGCUCUUCCUCCCCGCUGCCCUUGGAGGUGAAAGCAGCCUCUGUGCUGCUGUUGUGAUGCUCAGGCACAGGGAGGAAACUGUCUAUAUGCUCAGCUGCUGCUACCACAACUAGGAUGCAACAUUUUUAAUCAGGGGUUUAUCCUAGCUGAAUGUACCUGCUGAACUAGGGGGUGCAGGGAGGUAGCAGAGAGGGUCUCUCUGGGCAGAUUUAUUGCAGCCCAUUCCCCUGUGAUGUGAAUGUAUCAUCUUUGUGGUUAGCAUUUUGUUUUAGAAUCUCGUUAUUAGGAAUCUCAUUAUUAGAUUUCUGUCUCUCCCUUUGGGA